UUACGAUUACAAGUUGAGACAUUUUUCUCAUCUCUUCUCAUCUUGAUAAUGUUUUCCUCUUGCCUCCUUUAAAAACUUCAAGAGAAGGCAAUUUUCUUUUCUAAUUAAUAAAUUUUUGAUUAUAGCUAGGGUUGAUGUAAGGUUUGCAUAUCUACAUGGAUCUAUUUCUGUGCUGGUUUUGAGAGGCUGAAGCUGCCAGCAUGAUCUGUACCAGAUCAUCCUGCGGCUUCAUUCACUCAAUCACCAACAACGGCAAAACAAUGAACUUAAAUUUCAUGAGAAAAGCGAUUCCCGUUUGACUUUUGCGACUAGCCUCUAUCAUCACUCGAGGAACAUAAACAAUCAAUGUAAUGCUGAAGCCCUCCUUGAGGAGCCAUAUGUCUUCCAAAUAUGAUGCAAAAGCAGGGGUUUGGAUACUAUCUUCAUCAGCUGAAAAUAAUAUAUAGCAAAAGUCACCUGAAAUUGACGUAAAUUCUUCAUGCAUUAUAUUGCCAAUAUGAGUACCUCAAUAUUUGAGUGGAGAAGGGAAAGCGCUGCACUCGUGUUCAUUGCUCCCACUAGACCAUCAAAACCCUGCAAAGUACUGUAUCAGCCUUUAUUUCGCAAAUGAAAUGCAUGAAGAUCCUAUAUUUUAUGGAAGUGAAGUUUGCUACGGACUAAGCUCAAUUGGUAAAGAUGGUGUCUGCACCGACAGAAUGGCUAGCUUUCGCACCCCUCUUCGAGGAAGUACAACGAUGUAAGACGUUCUUUCCUCAUUUCUCACUCCAGCAUAUUUCUAGAGCAAAAAAGUAUUAUGGCGGAUAAACUUGCAUGAGGUGCAGAACCUCUCCUUCAGCUAUGUACUAUGUUGGCACUUCGACUUCAACUUGGGAGAAAUUUUUUAUUAAAUCGUGAAAGUCUUUUCAUAUAGUAGUUCUUAAAAAUAAUAUAUAAAUUUACAAAAAUAUUUUUAUGCGAGAAAAAUUGAAAUCAUGUAAUUAUAAAUAUUUGUAAAUGAUAUAAUUAAGAUCUAAUAAAAUUUAAUUGUUUUCAACAUAGAUGAGUUGAUUUAGAAUGAGUCAUGAUAUUAUUUGGUUUAGGGUUUGGUAACAAAUGUUAUAUUAUUGAUUGUAUUUUAGGGUUAGAUUUUGGAAUCCUAACUUUUGUUUUGAAAAAUUAAAUUUGACUUAUAUGUGUUUAGUUUUGUGUAUAUUAAACACUUUAAAGGUUGAUUUUAAGUUUAAUGAAGUGUUUGUUUUUGUUUAGUUUAGUUAUUUGAUUUUAGGGUUUAGGUGACUUUAAUUUUAACAAAUAAAGCAUUAUAUGAAAGUCUUCCGAAUCGAAAAUAUCCAAUCUUAUUAGAAUUUUUGUCUCCUUAUAUAAAGAAAAGUUACACAUUUUCUCACUCCCUCUCUCUCAAAUGGCAACAACAAAAAUGUAAUGUUUCUCAUUCUAAAACUCUCAAACCUCUCUCUAAUCUCUUUAAAUUUGAAAACACCAAACUUUAUAUCAAUUUCUCAAUUUUUUGUUUCAUGUCUCUCACUGAUUUAUCUUGUUUUUGCAGAUUUUUUAUUACAUGGUUUUCAUCUUCCACCCUUUUUAUGUUAUAUUUAUAAAUUUUGUGUUUGAUUCUAAAAAUUUAUAUAUUCAACCUAACGUGACUGUUUUAUUUAUUAUUUAAGUAUUAAAAACUUAUUUUAAAGUUAUUCUCUAUUUUGAAGCCAUUUGAAUGGUUUUGUAUAUGUAUGUUUUUCAGUUCCGAGUUAGACUUUUAGGAAGUGUUUUCUUCUUAGAAGUCUUCUAGCAUAUAAUGCACUAGAAUACUUCCCAAAAAGUCUUCUCUCAUGUCUCUUAUUUCAUAACAGACCUGAGCAUUUUGGUUAGUCUACAUGUCUGAUUUUUCUUCAUUUGGUAAUCUCUUGUUGAUUAAAGCUCUUACCUCUCUCUCAAACUAUGUCUGAGUCUUUGAUUUAGUUUUAGAUCUGGAGCUGUCAAAGUGGAGGAGCUGUCCGAGAUGGAGGAAGAGGCCUCAGAGGUUGCUGCUGGAGGUGUCAAAGUAGCGGAUGAGAUCUCGUAGGUUGAAGUUGAUGGUGGAGCCAAAACAAAUAUGAGCGUUUUUUGUAACUCUCCAUGUAUAAAUUUUGUUCACCUGGUUUUUGAAGAUUUCAUGGAAAACUUCUGCUUCAUGCAUGCGAAUUCUUCUGAAGUAUUCCAGGAAGUCUUCCACCUCAUGCAUGCGAAUUCUUCUGAAGUAUUUCAGGAAGUCUUCCACCUCAUGCAUGCGAAGUCUUUUGAAGUAUUCCAAGAAGUCUUCUCAAGUAUUCAAGACUCCUAAUAUUGACUAAUGUAUAUAAAUUAAUAAGAAAAUAUUAAGCAAUCAUUUUAAUUAUAGAAAAAAUGAAAAUUUAUUAAACAUUGUCCUAUAAGACUUCUACGAAAGUCUUCUGGUAGAAGACUUCUAGGAAGUCUACCAUUUAUGUCAUUUUUGCAAUUGCAAAUUUACAAAAGAAGACUUCUAAAGAAAUCUGCUAUGCAGCAGACUUCUCUAGAAGUCUUCCUUUGUAAGUAUUGGCUUACUUUGGUAUUUGAAUUUUUUUUGAAAAUACCAGAGAAGUCUUUCUUGGAAAUCUUCAAUAAAAAGUCAUAUUUUGGACACAGUUCGGUUAAUUGCAAAACUAACAUGUGUUUAUCCUAGAAGACUUUCGCGGAAGUCUACUCGUUUUUUUUUUGUUAACAAAGAAAAGUUGGAAGACUUCCAGAAAAGUUUUCUCUAAAAACACAAACAAAAAGUCAAUUACGAAACUAAAUUAUACAUUGACCAGAAGACUUCAAGAGAAGUCUUCUCUACCGAGGAUAUUUCAAAAGAAUUCUUCUUCGUGAAACAUAUCAGAAAAAAAACAUAUUUCAAAAGAAUUCUUCUUCAUGUUUGAUAUUCUCAGGCACACAUAUCUUCUUAAUGAUAGUUACUCACUCGUUCUUGACCAUAAAUCAUGAAAUUGAGUAACUCUAAUGAGGUUAUAAAAUUUGAAAUAAAAACUUUUUGAUAUUGAGUUAAAAUUUUUGAGAACAUAAACAAUAACUUAUCAUGAUAAUUUUUAAAUUAGUAAUGCAUAAACAAUAAUGUGUUUUUCAAAAUUUACUCACAAAAUGCCAAAUGCAAAAUUAACCCAUGAUUUUUUAGAACAUUCAUUUGCUGUAUUCACCACAUAAGUUCAAAUUAUUCACGAAAAAAUCAUUUUUUUUUGAAAAUGCAUAUAUUACUCAAUCAUCUUCUUCUUUUAUUUACAACAUUGUCAUUGUCAUCAAUACACAAACCACCAUGAACAACCAAUUUAAAACUCUCAAUGCACAUUUCAUCAAAAAAAAAUUGUUAUUGCAUUAAUUUCUUCAAAAACUAUCAUGUGUUAGAGAUUUUUUAAAAUUUAUUUAUACACUACCUUUAUUAUUAAUAAAUAAGUUUAUAAAUCAGUCAAUAUUAUUUUUCGUUUAAAUAAAAUUAAUAUAUUUAUUUUAUUAAUAUUUAAUUAAGUGAUUUCUUUUUUUAUUUCUUAAAUUUGAACUUUUUAUAAUUGAAAGAUAUUUUUUCAGAUAAUAAGACAAUGUAUAUAAGGAUUAUCUUCUUAUCUUAUUAAUUUAUUUAAUUUUGAGAAAGUUUUAUUAUAUUAGUUUUAAUCCAUUAUCCAAUAUAUUAAAUUUUGUUUUUUUAAUUUUGGUAAUUUUAUUAUAUUAAUUAAUAUUGAAUAAUUUAAUCAAAUAAAUAGAUAUAAUUAUUCAUUAAAGAUAAUAACAACUUUUGCCAGUAUAACCUUUAACGUGAAAGCUUAUAGGCAAAAAAUAUUUCACAAAUAAUAAUAAACAAGUUAAUAAAUUAGCCUUAAUAAAUCUAGUCAAUAUAUUUACAAGAAAAAAAAAUUUGAUAAGAAAAUAUACUUAAUUUUUUAAAAAAUAUUUCUAAACAAAAUUUAUUAUAUAUAAUUUAUCUAACUAAAAUA